CCGACUCUCUUGCCGGGGCUUUUCGAUCCUGCUGCCAGAAAUGUCUUGGGCCAGCCAAGGAGGGCAAGUGGUCUUCGGUCAAGCGUCGGGGCAGAGACGGGAAAGCCCUUGAUCGCGGCAGCGGCUGGAAGAGUGAAGGGCGUAGGCGAUUUUCCCAGCCGGCGCCAGGAAACAAAGGACGCUGAAGCAGAAAAAAACAGGAAAGAUGUUUUCUGGAUAUUUUGAUCCAAGGUUAAAUGAAAACAACACCACCACCUAAGUAUUUGUGGAUUGGCUGAGAGAGUAUGAUGCCCAAAGAUACCCAGCCACCUUUCAUGCCUAAGGAGUGGACCAGGGGAAGAAGGAAAUCAACAAUUGCCACAGACUGAGAAGAAGCAGGAUCUUAUUCACCAAGGCUGCCUUCAACAAAUUUUGGGAGUUUCCCCCUUCCCCUCAGACAGCUCAGGAGAUAUGGGGAAAUUGUAAAGCAUCAUAUUUGUCAAGAAUAUCUGAAUAUCGCUUUCACUGGUGCUUUUACUAAUAGUAUACCCCUGCAAUUCAGAAAUAAGCACAGGGAAGAUACAUUUAUUUUUGUCUGGAUAAUGUCAUAUAUUUCAUAGUGAAUGUGUCUUGAUUUAAAAAAAAGAGUAAAAAAGAUGUUGAGACUCUAGAAAGAGUGCAGAGAAGAGCAACAAAGAUGAUUAGGGGACUGGAGGAUAAAACAUAUGAAGAACGGUUGCAGGAACUGGGUAUGUCUAGUUUAACAAAAAGAAGGACUAGGGGAGACAUGAUAGCUGUGUUCCAAUAUCUUAGGGGCUGCCACAAAGAAGAGGGAGUCAGGCUGUUCACCAAAGCACCUGAGGGUAGAACAAGAAGCAAUGGGUGGAAACUGGUCAAAGAAAGAAGCAACUUAGAACUAAGGAGAAAUUUCCUGACAGUUAGAACAAUUAAUAAGUGGAACGACUUGCCUUCAGAAGUUGUGAAUGCUCCAACACUGGAAAUUUUUAAGAAAAUGUUGGAUAACCAUCUGACUGAGAUGGUAUAGGGUUUCCUGCCUGGGCAGGGGGUUGGACUAGAAGGCCUCCAAGGUCCCUUCCAACUCUGAUGUUAUGUUAUGUUAUUUACAAAACUGCCUAACAGUAGCAUAUAUAAAAAAGAACAUAAUAUAAUGAUUUUGAAAAAAGUAA